rnacentral:rRNA from 1 species
UACAGAGGUGGCAAGCGUUGUUCGGAAUUGCUGGGCGUAAAGGGCGCGUAGGCGGCUUGGUCAGUCCCGUGCGAAAUCCCUCGGCUCAACUGAGGAACUGCACGGGAAACUGCCUGGCUUGAGUUCGGGAGAGGGAAGCGGAAUUCCGGGUGUAGCGGUGAAAUGCGUAGAUAUCCGGAGGAACACCGGUGGCGAAGGCGGCUUCCUGGACCGACACUGACGCUGAGGCGCGAAAGCCAGGGGAGCAAACGGG